CCUGCUUCCAGGAAAAGCCUCUAAGCAUCAGGUAACAUCAAAUCGUACCCCAAACCGACACAGGUGGUCAGGUAGAGAAUACCAAGGCGCUUGAGAGAACUCGGGUGAAGGAACUAGGCAAAAUGGUGCCGUAACUUCGGGAGAAGGCACGCUGAUAUGUAGGUGAAGUCCCUCGCGGAUGGAGCUGAAAUCAGUCGAAGAUACCAGCUGGCUGCAACUGUUUAUUAAAAACACAGCACUGUGCAAACACGAAAGUGGACGUAUACGGUGUGACGCCUGCCCGGUGCCGGAAGGUUAAUUGAUGGGGUUAGCGCAAGCGAAGCUCUUGAUCGAAGCCCCGGUAAACGGCGGCCGUAACUAUAACGGUCCUAAGGUAGCGAAAUUCCUUGUCGGGUAAGUUCCGACCUGCACGAAUGGCGUAAUGAUGGCCAGGCUGUCUCCACCCGAGACUCAGUGAAAUUGAACUCGCUGUGAAGAUGCAGUGUACCCGCGGCAAGACGGAAAGACCCCGUGAACCUUUACUAUAGCUUGACACUGAACAUUGAGCCUUGAUGUGUAGGAUAGGUGGGAGGCUUUGAAGUGUGGACGCCAGUCUGCAUGGAGCCGACCUUGAAAUACCACCCUUUAAUGUUUGAUGUUCUAACGUUGACCCGUAAUCCGGGUUGCGGACAGUGUCUGGUGGGUAGUUUGACUGGGGCGGUCUCCUCCUAAAGAGUAACGGAGGAGCACGAAGGUUGGCUAAUCCUGGUCGGACAUCAGGAGGUUAGUGCAAUGGCAUAAGCCAGCUUGACUGCGAGCGUGACGGCGCGAGCAGGUGCGAAAGCAGGUCAUAGUGAUCCGGUGGUUCUGAAUGGAAGGGCCAUCGCUCAACGGAUAAAAGGUACUCCGGGGAUAACAGGCUGAUACCGCCCAAGAGUUCAUAUCGACGGCGGUGUUUGGCACCUCGAUGUCGGCUCAUCACAUCCUGGGGCUGAAGUAGGUCCCAAGGGUAUGGCUGUUCGCCAUUUAAAGUGGUACGCGAGCUGGGUUUAGAACGUCGUGAGACAGUUCGGUCCCUAUCUGCCGUGGGCGCUGGAGAACUGAGGGGGGCUGCUCCUAGUACGAGAGGACCGGAGUGGACGCAUCACUGGUGUUCGGGUUGUCAUGCCAAUGGCACUGCCCGGUAGCUAAAUGCGGAAGAGAUAAGUGCUGAAAGCAUCUAAGCACGAAACUUGCCCCGAGAUGAGUUCUCCCUGACUCCUUGAGAGUCCUGAAGGAACGUUGAAGACGACGACGUUGAUAGGCCGGGUGUGUAAGCGCAGCGAUGCGUUGAGCUAACCGGUACUAAUGAACCGUGAGGCUUAACC
rnacentral:rRNA from 1 species